rnacentral:rRNA from 1 species
GACAGAGGGUGCAAACGUUGCUCGGAAUACUGGGCGUAAAGCGCGUGUAGGUGGUCACGCAAGUCAGGUGUGAAAGCCCAGGGCUCAACCCUGGAAGUGCACAUGAUACUACGUGGCUGGAGUACUGAAGAGGAGAGCGGAAUCCUGGUGUAGCGGUGAAAUGCGUAGAUAUUGGGAAGGAACACCAGUGGCGAAGGCGGGCUCGCUGGACCGGUUCUGACGCUGAUGCGCGAAAGCCAG